UACGUAGGGCGCAAGCGUUGUCCGGAAUUAUUGGGCGUAAAGAGCUCGUAGGCGGCCAGUUGCGUCUGCUGUGAAAUCCCGGGGCUCAACCCCGGGCGUGCAGUGGAUACGGGCUGGCUAGAGGCAGGCAGGGGAGAACGGAAUUCCCGGUGUAGCGGUGAAAUGCGCAGAUAUCGGGAGGAACACCCGUGGCGAAGGCGGCUCUCUGGGACGGUACUGACGCUGAGACGCGAAAGCGUGGGGAGCGAACAGG
rnacentral:rRNA from 1 species